GAAAAGAAAGCAAAAGCGAUUUCCCAAGUAACGGCGAGUGAACAGGAAGAAGCCUAGCGCUUAGGAUCUAUGGGAUGGUUUGCAGCAAUGUGAAUCGUCGUUUUCGAAAAGCCAUAGAUCGGUGCAGCGUUACAAACUACAAUGUUUAGUAGUACCAUUGGUAGUAAGUAAAAUUGCUACUCUUAGCUUAGCAUGCAAGUUCCAUUGACUUGGACUAAUUGUAAAUGACUCGAAAUUUGGGUAAAACUGAAUUUCUUGUUGAGCCAUAGUGGGUGAAAGCCCUAUACCGUGCAAGCAUUGGUAUUACGAAUUGUAGCUGGUGGUGUUUUGAAUAAAAACACUAUCAAAUUUGUUAGAGUCGAGUUGCUUGAGAGUGCAACUUAAAGUGCGAGGUAAACUACUCGUAAGGCUAUGUAAUACGGCUACGACACCGAUAGCAAACAAGUACCGUGAGGGAAAGUUGAAAUAGAACUUUGUAGAGAGAGUUAACAGGGCGUGAAACCGUUAAUUGGCAAACGAAUGGAGCCACGAAGUCGUUUCGUUGAAAUUGGGUUAGAUUCAGUAUAAAUAUCAAAAAUAUUUAUAUGUAUUUCUGAACUCAAUCAUCAUUGUAAGCGUACACUGCAACCAGUUAGACAAAUGGUGAUGGAAAUAGUCUUUAAUAAUUUCGGUUAUUUUAGACGAUAUAUUUGUUUGUUUAUAUUAGUAGUAGUGUGUGAUAUCUUUUGCGAGAUAUUCGCAUUGCUGGAUAUUUAGCAAGUGAGCUAUUACCAUAUACUGACUGGCAAAAUGAAAAUCACUCAUCUUUUGAGUGUUAUCAUAAAAUACUGUUUGUUGUAUACAAGUCUACUUCCAUGACCAUUUGGUUUAAGCUCAACAUUUUUGAAUUUGGACUUGCUAACUAUCAAUGGGGCAACUCUUGAUGUUAGUAUAGUUUCCAUCUAAUCGGGUGUUGACUUAGUUGGAUGUUGUUCAUGUUGGAGAAUCGUUUGGGCAUGUAUGCAAACAAAUUAGUUAUUA
rnacentral:rRNA from 1 species